rnacentral:tRNA from 1 species
GCGCCUGUAGCUCAGUUGGAUAGAGCAACGGCCUCCGAAGCCGUGUGUCGGACGUUCAAAUCGUCUCAGGCGCACCA